rnacentral:rRNA from 1 species
AUUCCAGCUCCAAUAGCGUAUAUUAAAGUUGUUGCGGUUAAAAAGCUCGUAGUUGGAUUUCUGCCGAGGAUGACCGGUCCGCCCUGUGGGUGUGCAUCUGGCUCAGCCUUGGCAUCUUCCUGAAGAACGUAGCUGCACUUGACUGUGUGGUGCGGUAUUUAGGACAUUUACUUUGAGGAAAUUAGAGUGUUUCAAGCAAGCGCACGCUUUGAAUACAUUAGCAUGGAAUAAUAAGAUAGGACCUCGGCUCUAUUUUGUUGGUUUCUAGAGCUGAGGUAAUGAUUGAUAGGGAUAGUUGGGGGCAUUCGUAUUUAACUGUCAGAGGUGGAAUUCUCUAAUUUGAUAAAGACUAACUUAUGCGAAAGCAUUUGCCAAGGAUGUUUUCAUUA